CUUAAGAAUUCCCGGCCUUGGAGCAGCUCUGCGGCUCUCCUCCCGGGGCGGGGCGAAGAAGGUGCGCGGGCGGGCGCAAUCGCCUCGCCGCCAUCAUGGGGUUGUGCGGCUUUGGUGCCGUUCUGACCUCCCGCCCGCAGGUGGCGCUGUACGGAGAGCGCUCUCUCUUGACAAAAAAAGGAUGACACCGGAUGUGACGUCAGACCAGCAGAAAACUUCCGCCUCCUUCUUCAGAAAGGAAGGGGAGGGUUCCCAAAACAACAUGGUUGCUUUGCAAAUCUUGGAGCCUGGGAGGGAGGUGUGGGCUGGGUGGGCAGGUCGUCAGAUGUAUUUGUUUGCAAGGUUUCAUUAAAAUAAUAAAGACUGCAGUUAAUCAUGUAUUUAAAAUUAAUUUAUUCAAGUAAUUAAUUAAUUAAUUCUUCAAAAUAACUUAUUCAAAAGGUAAAUAUUGCAAUUAUUAAAGUGACCCCCCGAGUAUAGGGCGGUAUAUAAAUUCAAUAAAUGAAAUAAAAAUAAUAUUGCAACUAGUAAAAUGAAGCAUCAACAUGGUUUGCAACUGUUCCAGCACAUACUGAAAUAGGAGUUAAGUUUGGGGUCCCUGCAAGGGGUUCAGCUUCUUAAGGAAGGCUGGACCUUCAGAAAAAGCGCGCUUUGAGGCUCAAACUGGCCGGGAAAUAAACACAGACCAGACCAGGAUUUUCAGAAAGCAAAGCGGCUGGAAGCCUGAUCCUUUAUUAAAAUUAUAUGCAGAACUGUUGGCAACAGAGUUCCCACUCACGUAGCAGGCAGCCAAGAGAGAACCCCAAAUAAAAGAGAAUUUUGACUUAUAUACCUUUUAAUUUCCAUACAGAACAAUGGUAACAAAAGAUGUCAAACAAGGCGCAGUGAGAGGAUUAGAACAGGAAAACUUCGGAGCUGCUAGCUGCUGUCCGAUAAGGAGACAGGAUUUUGGGAGUCGCUUAUCAGUGCGGGUGUGUUGCCUUCUUCUGCAUUUUUCCUUUAUUUAAAUAAAACUAUCUGAGGUUGUA